GAUGAACGCUAGCGGCAGGCCUAAUACAUGCAAGUCGAACGGUGUCCUCGGACAUAGUGGCGCACGGGUGCGUAACACGUAUGCAACCUACUUUACAUUGGGGGAUAGCCUUUCGAAAGGGAGAUUAAUACCGCAUAAGACAGUAGCUGGGCAUCCAGCAGCUGUUAAAGAUUUAUCGAUGUAAGCUGGGCAUGCGUCCAAUUAGCUAGUUGGUGAGGUAACGGCUCACCAAGGCAAUGAUUGGUAGGGGAACUGAGAGGUCAAUCCCCCACACUGGCACUGAGAUACGGGCCAGACUCCUACGGGAGGCAGCAGUAGGGAAUAUUAGGCAAUGGACGCAAGUCUGACCCAGCCAUGCCGCGUGCAGGAUGAAGGCGUUAUGCGUUGUAAACUGCUUUUAUACAGGAAGAAACGACUCUUGCGAGAGGCAUUGACGGUACUGUAUGAAUAAGCACCGGCUAACUCCGUGCCAGCCGCCGCCGUAAAAC
rnacentral:rRNA from 1 species